rnacentral:lncRNA from 1 species
CUGUUACGUAGAAAUCAUUUCAUCUCUUUGUUCUUUGGUGCCCUUCACCCCUAGCUCCCAAGGUUUCAGCUGGAAACAGUCGUGAAAACCAUCACAAAAUCCACGUGUUCUACAAAUGUUGAUAGUUGAUAAGCGUUUCCCCCGUGACAGGUCUGGCACCAGGGCUGCGGGGUCGAUGAAUGGGACUUGCUCUUUGGGUCCUACUGGGUGGGGGAAGAUGCACGAUGCAGGGCUGCCCACUGAGGUCAGGCCCUAAUGUCUCGAGUCUUGGUGGCAGGAAACAGUGACAGCUCAGGCAGAUUUUCUGACUUUCUAGAGGUGGUGGCUUAAUUCACCUUUCAAGGACACACAGCUCUUUGUCUUGGGAAAAUAACUGUAAUGGGCUCUUUGCUUAUGUGAAGGGAAAGCAAAUAUACUCUGCGGCAGAAAAGCACGAGUCAGCGAGGAGCUAAAUUGCUCCGCAUAAUGAGGUAAAUGGCUGCCUCCCUCGGGGUAGAAUCGCAUCCUCGUUGAUUAUGUUUUCUCUAGGAAAUUUCUCCCAAAUAUGGAUUUAAGCUGCAGUUUCUGGAAGUGGCUGUUUGUUCUUAAAGGAGAGAGACCUCCAGCUUUGCAUGGGCACCACGUUCCUUGCAAGGAGAGGCCUCUGUCAACUCAAGGCUGUUGAACCGAGGCUCCCAGCUGCAUGGUCUCAGGCCUCUGCAGGGGUCUCGCCAGGUGGGAUGGCUUGGUGGGAAUCCAGCAUGCCCCCUCCCACCGCAACACCAAACCAAUGGAAGAGAGAAAGAAGGGUGCAGUGGAAGCCAACACCCAAUGGACUUCUACCAAGUGGGACUACCGCAGGGCAAGGCGGUUUGAGCCAGAGGACUGGGGGUGCUUUUCCCCUCACUGGUCUCGCCGACGUCCAUCUUCAGGACGUGUGACGUGGCCACAUUUGCUUGGCUUGGACGGCGUCAUAGCUUUGCCCUGAAGACUGGGGUGCCCGUCAGCGUCGGCCAUCGCCCUGGCCAAGGAGCGAUCCAUCUCACCACAGCUGGAUUCGAGAGCCACCCGCAGCCUUCCCCUUGUGCCCCAAGUCAAGGCCUCCAGAACCUUCCUCAUCAGCAGCUCCUGCAGAGACCUGGUCACCCAGCGAACACCAGGACCUCAUCCUGUCCACAGAUGUCCCUGCCUGCACACAGCACCCCCAGGAGGUGGGGAGCAUGACCCAGGCUGGCUGCAGCCUCCUGGCUGCCAGGGGGAGCCCAGGGGCAGGCUGUGCACGGGAGACCCCGGCCCGCUGGCAGUCGGGGCUGGACUGUCUCAUCUCCAGCCUCAGCUCUGGUCUCUGGGGACCCGCCCAGGGCUCACCUCAGCCCUCUCCCAAGUACGUGUGGGUCCAAGGAGAGCAGAAGUGAGGCCUCUCCCGUUCCCGGGCUCUGCCUUCGACACGCUCCAUCUCUUCUUCCACCUCCAACUCGGGGUCCAGAACGACCCUGGCAGCUCGGGGUCCUGGGGUAGAGCAGAAAAGGUCUCCGGGAGGGGCUUCCUCACCUGCGCCGCCUGCGUGAAGCCAGCUCCCUGGGCUGUCCACCAUCCUGCCCUGAGCUGCCCAUAGGCCACACUCAGCCGAUAGUCCAGAGGCCCCCAGCCCUUCUCGCCUGUCCCUGCAGAGGGGGCCCCUGAGGUCAGAGGGCAGAGCCCAGACGCUGUGCUGGUCAAGCUUCAGCUUUCCCUCUGGAGUUGAUACGUGCUGUUGGCCUUGGUUUGAAACAGACCAUCUGCUCCCACCGGUCAGGGGGGCCGUCCCUGUGAGGCAGUGCUGGCAUUAAAGGGGCAGCCGGCCAGCAGGGCCACGACGGGAUGCCAAGUGACCUUGGGGCCUUGGUGUCCACCCGCUGGGAGCAGGUGCCCACAGGGCCCUGCUGGGGAAGGCUGGGGUCUGCACGGCCUCCAGGACCCCCCAGCCAUUUCAGCUGCUCACAGUUCCCUGACUGCGCAGCUGGGAUGGGAGAGAGGCACAUCCUAUCGUCUCGUUGCCACCACGUCCCUGAAG